rnacentral:misc_RNA from 1 species
GAUGAAGAACGUAGCGAAAUGCGAAAAGUAAUGUGAAUUGCAGAAUUCAGUGAACGAUCGAAUCUUUGAACGCACAUUGCGCCCGCUGGAACUCCGGCGGGCACGCCUGUCCGAGCGUCAUUUCAACCCUCAGGCCCCCCUUCGCGGGCGGGCCUGGUGUUGGGGCCCGGCCGCUACCCUGCGGCCGUCCCCUAAAUUCAGUGGCGGCCUCGCCGUGAUCCCUUGCGUAGUAAUGCACCUCGCACCGGAGAGCGCCGUGGCCACGCCGUAAAACCCCCAAUUUUCAAUGGUUGACCUCGGAUCAGGUGGGAAUACCCGCUGAACUUAAGCAUAUCAAUAAGCGGAGGA